AAUAGGAAAAAUAUACCUACCUUGGCAUGAAUUUGUUUUUUUUUUCUCGUUAAAAAAAAAAACUAUAGUGUAACGGGAGUCACCUGUAGGUGUCUCUAUACCCAUUGUUCAGGGGGUUUAAAAAGGAAGUUGACGUGUGGUUGCUAUGGCGCUAGCUUCCUGUGAGAAAGCCGGUUAGCUCAGAGAGCAGCGUGAGUUGGCUCGAGCAAAGAGUGCGGAUCACGGCAGAGGUAGAUCCUGCUUUUCUGGGAGUUUUAAAGACUGGGCGUGAGGUUUUGCGACGCACCAGUGUUGGAAUACUGUGCCCUGCUGUCCUGUUUAAGUUUAUGUUUUGUACUUGGUUUGUCCGCUCCUGACGGAGCUGUCCCAGCGUGAUUGACUAAUCAAGUGCAGGAGCGGACCAUUUACCCUCUGUUCUGUUUGUCAUUUUUUUUAGUCACUUCCCUCAGGUUUCACCCCGCAUGUUAUUUUGGUGGGUGCCGUAUCCCACCGAGUGCUGUGUAUCACAGUUACGUUGCAUGUUUUUAUUUUUUAUUGUUGUGCAUGAACUGUGGUUUUUUUUGUCUGCAUGCUCCUGUGGUGUCAUUGAUACGGUCAACAUUUUUAUUCUACUCAUGACGGGGUUUUUGUAUUAAUAAAUCUUCGUAACCUGC